AGCGGCGGACGGGUGAGUAACGCGUGGGUAACCUGCCUCAUACAGGGGGAUAACAGUUAGAAAUGACUGCUAAUACCGCAUAAGACCACAGCACCGCAUGGUGCGGGGGUAAAAACUCCGGUGGUAUGAGAUGGACCCGCGUCUGAUUAGCUAGUUGGUAAGGUAACGGCUUACCAAGGCGACGAUCAGUAGCCGACCUGAGAGGGUGACCGGCCACAUUGGGACUGAGACACGGCCCAA
rnacentral:rRNA from 1 species